GUGGGAGGGGGCUUGCUCCCGAUGAGGGUAUGCCAGUCAGCAGUUUAUCGACUGACCCACCGCUAUCGGGAGCAAGCCCCCUCCCAC
rnacentral:misc_RNA from 1 species